UACAGAGGGUGCGAGCGUUAAUCGGAAUUACUGGGCGUAAAGCGCGCGCAGGCGGUCGCGUAAGUCUGCUGUGAAAUCUCCCUGGCUCAACCGGGAGGGGGCGGCGGAGACUGCGGGACUGGAGGGACCUAGAGGCCGGUGGAAUUCCCGGUGUAGUGGUGAAAUGCGUAGAGAUCGGGAGGAACACCUGUGGCGAAGGCAGGUCUCUGGGCCACUACUGACGCUGAGAAGCGAAAGCAUGGGGAGCGAACAGG
rnacentral:rRNA from 1 species